ensembl:lncRNA
UUUUGACUUGUUGUGUUUCGCCUCACAAAUAAAGGCCAUAUUCGUUCACUUUUUUGUGUAUAGAAUAUAGUCUGCAGCUGUUCUUUCAACCCGCUUGUACUCUGCCUCUUCCAUCUGCUCUCUUUUACCCCUUUCACUCAUUCUCUUUGGACUAACACUGCCACCCAUUCUGGCUCAGGACAUUUUCUUCCACCCUGUCCACAUGGUCUUGUUAAGGGAAGACUGAGGGAGUAAUCUAUGAUUAUACUAUCGCUUAUUGAAUACUAUUAAGGGGGCGGGACAGCAUGAUAAAAUCCCUUGGGAACAGUGAACAGAGUGGAGAGAUUUAUAAGGCAUCUAGUGACACUUUUCAAGGGCCACCGUGACAUUAACUGCCGAACAGACCCGCGAGGUGGGUUGGCAGGUUACCAAAUGCCAAGCCGAGCUGAAUUAAGGAACACUAUUUUGCUUAGAACUAGGUCAUUUCAAAAGGAAAGUCGGUUCAUUGCAGGAAAGCCCAGAAUAGAGUUUUCACAUCGGUGCGGAGUCCGCUCAUAAUAGAACACAUAAACUGUAGUCAGUGUGACGCGUUCUCAAGAUCACAGCCGCAUUUUCACACCGACUUUUUGUCUGUCGAUGUGCCCGCCUACCCCGGUCUACAUGCAUUCCAUUUCACCUGUUGCUGCCGAGAUCUAAUAUUUCCAGUGGGAGCGAUUAGGAGGAAUUUAAUAAAAACAGACACGAGAGGGAUGGUAAAUGAAGUCAUGAAAACUCUUCAGACGGAAUACGUACGCACGAGAAGUCCGGAACUCCUCUGGAUAUGCUUGAAAGCGAAAGCGCGAGUACGGUCCAAAACCCAUCACUUCUUUAUUUAGUCAAUCUCUGUGUUUAUGGGCUUCCAUUUCACUCAAAUUCAGGAACAGUAGCAGCUACACAUUACCCGCCCCCUACUAGACAACUACAACUGUGUUUGAAUUGAGAAGACUGGAUAUUCUCAGCCAGAAAUGCCCCUUGACAACACGGACACCCCGAGGAGCCGGUGGGAGCAGGGUUUGCGGCCACCGUGGGUCACUCGAUUGGCCGGAGGGCGAAGCCCCGCGUCUUCUGGGGCGGAGUCGGACACAGAGAGCAGCAGUACAGAGAGUGAGCGGUCUCACACCAGGCGUUCAGAGGGGGGCUCAGGUAGGAUCCCUCACUCACCCUCCUCACUCCAACAGCGAAUCACAGAGAUCGACCAGCAGAGGGAGGAGCUAAAGAUAGAGGUGCAGCUGGAGAUAGCCCUGUUAGAGGCAGAACUGCAGGAACAGAGGAGCCAGCUGCAGGAAAACACACUGCAGCUCCAGAAACUACAGGAGGGACCAGGCAGUACCAGUGAGACUCACAGACCGACACACAGACAGGAGGUCAGUGUUUCUAGAUACAAAACAGACAUGCAGACAGGAGGUCAGUGGUACUGGAUACAAAACAGACAGGCAGACAGACAGGAGGUCAGUGGUACUAGAUACAAAACAGACAGGCAGACGAGGUCAGUGGUACUGAAAACAAAACAGACAAGCAGACAGAUAGGAGGUCAGUGGUACUGGAUACAAACCACAGACAGACAGACAGGCAGGCAGACAGAGGUCUAAGCUAUAGAGCUAUGGAAUGACAUCACCA